ensembl:lncRNA
AGACGCACCUGUUAGCGUUUAGUAGUCAAGACGAUACGCAGGUAUUAUUUUUCUGAACCUGUUGCGAUACGACAGAGAAAACGCGCUAUUUAGGCUUCGAAAGUCAAGGUGUCAUGGGGUCAUGGAUGCUGGUUCUGUGUACCACAGUCACUCUGAUGCCUGUGUGUCUUCAUGGAGCAAUAUCAGUCCGCUUUAAGACCGGACGGCCUCUCUAUGUGGCACUCGGCCGAACUCUUGUUUUGGAAGUCGAAUUCAAGAAGGACUCGGACGACAAAAUAGACAUGGUGACGUGGGACCGCGAGAGAGGAAAUGUCACUGUCAGACUGUCACAUGGAAACAGAAUAUCUUUGGAGAACGGAGAUGCACUUCUGCGGGUCACUGAUGUUGCAGAAGGGGACCUUGCGACCUACAAAGUCACCGUUACAGACAGUAACGGAUACCAGCAGCAAGACUCCAUAGAAGUACAAAAGAUAGGUAAAUCGGUUUCAUUUUAUCUAUACAAAUGUUGUUUCACGACUGCCCUGUGCUCCAGAAGUUUUGCAUAUUUUCUUUUUUUCUUUUUUUUUUUUAACGCAGCAUGUCGUGCAAAACUCAAAGAAACUAGUUGA